CUCGUAGGCGGCUUGUCGCGUCUGGUGUGAAAGGCAUGGGCUCAACCUGUGGACUGCAUUGGAAACUGUCAUACUUGAGUGCCGGAGGGGUAAGCGGAAUUCCUAGUGUAGCGGUGAAAUGCGUAGAUAUAUGGAGGAACACCGGUGGCGAAAGCGGCUCUCUGGUCUGUAACUGACGCUGAGGCUCGAAAGCGUGGGAGCGAACA
rnacentral:rRNA from 1 species